UGUAGAAACUAGAUUGAUGAGGAAUGCUGGAUUAGAUGUAGUUUGGACUGGUCCUAAAAAAGCACUUAAUAUAUUUAACCAAGAAUUACCAUUUAGCAUGGAUUAGUUAUACUUAACUCUUAAAAGCUGAAUCAGUUUGCAAAUGCAUUAUGAGAAUGGUGGAAAAACUGCAACAUCAACCAAACCUCUCUGUCCAGAAUUUCUUUUGGUGGUGAAAUUUCCAGAAGCAACCAUUCAGAAGCAAACUUUGGGAUGUUUUAAAAUACCUGUUUUAUGCUUUCUUUGCUUCCCAUCCAAGAAGGCUAAGUAAGUCUGUGCAAUCACAUUGCAUUUCCAAAUUAUAAUUCUUUAUAACAUUAGCUAGUCGUCAUUGUGACAAAGUAAAGCCUGUAUUCAUUACUGCUGCAUCUCCAGAGUUGCAGAAUGAUGGUAUUAGACAGUAUAGAUCAUUAGUGUGGAAGAAAUUAUCUGUUUCUUUGCCCAUUACUAUUAUGAGCCUUUAAACCAUGGUAAAUCAUAAGGAACCCAGAGGCAAGAAGUCAAAAACACAUGUGACAGGCUCUGUCCACAGUCAGCACUUUCAGUCAAGAUGUGGUUGGACAAGUUAGGGCUUGCCUGUCAUCAGAAAGUGUUUGUAAUGCUAAAGCACAGCUCAGAACAUGUGUAGCAGUGAUGUUAGGACAUCCGAGCACAUGCAGGAAGCAUUUUUCUCUGAGAACUGAGUAAUAGGGUUUCCAUACCAGAGGAAGCCCUUUUCUGAUAGGCAUUAGAAAUUGACAGUUGCAUAUAAUAUUUUAUUUGCAGGAUCAUUUAGGAUUAGGAUUGGUGUACAUCCCCAUUCAGUCAUAACGUCAUAAGUUAGGGAUCAGUAACCUUUUCAAGCUUUGAUUCCAUUUGUAAGAGCUCCCAAGGUUCCAGUGCUCUGGUGCGAAAGUCACAAGAUUUUAAUGAUCUCAUGAAAAUCACCAAAAGCUCAUUAGAUUUGUCAAUCUUGUGAGAUUGUAUUGUUAUAUCUGGUUAGUAUUUGGAUGGGAGACCUCCAGGAAAUCAGAGGGUUAUAGGCUAGACUGGGAAGUUGAAAGGACAUCCUGGAAGAAGACACCAACAAGCCACUUCCAUGCUUUUGCCAAAAAAACUGUAAUGAUGUAUCCAUGAAAUCACCAGGAAGCAAGCUGAACUCAAAGGAGAUUUCACCUUUUAAUUUGUAUCUGUGUUGACAGAUCCUUGAGGAAAAUCAGGCUGCUCUGGACUGACUGUGUGAUUCUGUACAGCAAAGCAAGAUACUUGUGAAGCAAUUCAAUGCAUCUAAGCACUACAGAAAAACACUGUGCAACCCUAAACCUUUAUUUCUAAAAGACAGGAAGAAGGAUGGAGAGAGAAGUUGGUUGAAACAAGUGACAGACAAGGGAACAAUUCAUCAGAAGCUCUCCAAUCUCAAUUCACCAGGAGAAAAAUACCAAGUCCUUUAUCUGAAAAUAUAAAUUAAUUAUGGCCUUCAAAGAGGUGCAUGCCCCUUUUUAUAUAAAAUCUAAAUGUAAAGUAACCCAACUCCCAUUCCCUUUACCUAUUUCUGUAAAUUGCCAUGUUUCCUAGCAGCAGACACCCCUCUAACAUCUGCAAUUUUCCUAGACACUGUUCACUAAAAAGAGGGGCGGUUAAUUUGUCCUAUAGUUCUGAACUUUUGCACCAGCUGUCUUGCCUUUAAAAGACUGAAAUCAGAUAGGUUUGCUCUCAUGGAAGGGGUAGCAGAAAAUGCUUUGUUCAGUCCAAAAUAAAAACUAAGAGUACCCUUUUAAAAUAAUAGAAUUUAAAAGAGUUUCCUUUCCAAACUCCUGAACCUAAUUUCAGCUCUCAUUUCAUUUGAAUAGAGCAGUGUUUCUCAAUC